AGAGUUUGAUCCUGGCACAGAACGAACGCUGGCGGCAUGCCUAACACAUGCAAGUCGAACGCUCUUGGGGCUUUGGCUCCAAGGGAGUGGCGCACGGGUGAGUAGCGCGUGGGAACCUGCCCUGUUGUGGGGGAUAACCGAGGGAAACUUCGGCUAAUACCGCAUACGCCGGUUGUCUUGAGAGAGAUGGCCGGGAAAGAUUGAUCGCAGCAGGAGGGGCCCGCGUCGGAUUAGGUAGUUGGUGGGGUAACGGCCUACCAAGCCUGUGAUCCGUAGCUGGUCUGAGAGGAUGAUCAGCCACACUGGGACUGAGACACGGCCCAGACUCCUACGGGAAGCAGCAGUGGGGAAUAUUGGACAAUGGGCGCAAGCCUGAUCCAGCAAUGCCGCGUGAGUGAUGAAGGCCUUCGGGUUGUAAAGCUCUUUCGCACGCGACGAUGAUGACGGUAGCGUGAGAAGAAGCCCCGGCUAACUUCGUGCCAGCAGCCGCGGUAAUACGAAGGGGGCGAGCGUUGUUCGGAUUUACUGGGCGUAAAGGGCGCGUAGGCGGCGAUGAAAGUCAGGCGUGAAAGCCCCGGGCUCAACCUGGGAGGUGCGCUUGGGACUACAUUGCUGGAGUUCGGGAGAGGAGCGUGGAAUUCCCAGUGUAGAGGUGAAAUUCGUAGAUAUUGGGAAGAACACCGGUGGCGAAGGCGGCGCUCUGGACCGAUACUGACGCUGAGGCGCGAAAGCGUGGGGAGCAAACAGGAUUAGAUACCCUGGUAGUCCACGCUGUAAACGAUGUGUGCUAGACGUUGGAGAGCCUAGCUCUUCGGUGUCGCCGCUA
rnacentral:rRNA from 1 species